rnacentral:rRNA from 1 species
GAGGAAUAUUGGUCAAUGGACGAGAGUCUGAACCAGCCAAGUAGCGUGCAGGAUGACGGCCCUAUGGGUUGUAAACUGCUUUUGUAUGGGGAUAAAGUCAAUCACGUGUGAUUGUUUGCAGGUACCAUACGAAUAAGGACCGGCUAAUUCCGUGCCAGCAGCCGCGGUAAUACGGAAGGUCCGGGCGUUAUCCGGAUUUAUUGGGUUUAAAGGGAGCGUAGGCCGGAGAUUAAGUGUGUUGUGAAAUGUAGACGCUCAACGUCUGACUUGCAGCGCAUACUGGUUUCCUUGAGUACGCACAACGUUGGCGGAAUUCGUCGUGUAGCGGUGAAAUGCUUAGAUAUGACGAAGAACUCCGAUUGCGAAGGCAGCUGACGGGAGCGCAACUGACGCUUAAGCUCGAAGGUGCGGGUAUCGAACAGGAUUAGAUACCCUGGUAGUCCGCACAGUAAACGAUGGAUGCCCGCUGUUGGUACCUGGUAUCAGCGGCUAGGCGAAAGCAUUAAGCAUCCCACCUGGGGAGUACGCCGGCAACGGUG